GACGAACGCUGGCGGCGUGCUUAACACAUGCAAGUCGAACGGGAAGGCCCUGCUUUUGUGGGGUGCUCGAGUGGCGAACGGGUGAGUAACACGUGAGUAACCUGCCCUUGACUUUGGGAUAACUUCAGGAAACUGGGGCUAAUACCGGAUAGGAGCUCCUGCUGCAUGGUGGGGGUUGGAAAGUUUCGGCGGUUGGGGAUGGACUCGCGGCCUAUCAGCUUGUUGGUGGGGUAGUGGCUUACCAAGGCUUUGACGGGUAGCCGGCCUGAGAGGGUGACCGGCCACAUUGGGACUGAGAUACGGCCCAGACUCCUACGGGAGGCAGCAGUGGGGAAUAUUGCACAAUGGGCGGAAGCCUGAUGCAGCAACGCCGCGUGCGGGAUGACGGCCUUCGGGUUGUAAACCGCUUUCGCCUGUGACGAAGCGUGAGUGACGGUAAUGGGUAAAGAAGCACCGGCUAACUACGUGCCAGCAGCCGCGGUGAUACGUAGGGUGCGAGCGUUGUCCGGAUUUAUUGGGCGUAAAGGGCUCGUAGGUGGUUGAUCGCGUCGGAAGUGUAAUCUUGGGGCUUAACCCUGAGCGUGCUUUCGAUACGGGUUGACUUGAGGAAGGUAGGGGAGAAUGGAAUUCCUGGUGGAGCGGUGGAAUGCGCAGAUAUCAGGAGGAACACCAGUGGCGAAGGCGGUUCUCUGGGCCUUUCCUGACGCUGAGGAGCGAAAGCGUGGGGAGCGAACAGGCUUAGAUACCCUGGUAGUCCACGCUGUAAACGGUGGGUACUAGGUGUGGGGUCCAUUCCACGGGUUCCGUGCCGUAGCUAACGCUUUAAGUACCCCGCCUGGGGAGUACGGCCGCAAGGCUAAAACUCAAAGGAAUUGACGGGGCCCCGCACAAGCGGCGGAGCAUGCGGAUUAAUUCGAUGCAACGCGUAGAACCUUACCUGGGUUUGACAUGGAUCGGGUGUGCUCAGAGAUGGGUGUGCCUCUUUUGGGGUCGGUUCACAGGUGGUGCAUGGCUGUCGUCAGCUCGUGUCGUGAGAUGUUGGGUUAAGUCCCGCAACGAGCGCAACCCUUGUUCACUGUUGCCAGCACGUUAUGGUGGGGACUCAGUGGAGACCGCCGGGGUCAACUCGGAGGAAGGUGGGGAUGACGUCAAGUCAUCAUGCCCCUUAUGUCCAGGGCUUCACGCAUGCUACAAUGGCUGGUACAGAGAGUGGCGAGCCUGUGAGGGUGAGCGAAUCUCGGAAAGCCGGUCUCAGUUCGGAUUGGGGUCUGCAACUCGACCUCAUGAAGUCGGAGUCGCUAGUAAUCGCAGAUCAGCAACGCUGCGGUGAAUACGUUCCCGGG
rnacentral:rRNA from 1 species